GAAAAAAACAAAAACAAAAACAAAAAACUUUUCGUUCCCUAAUUAUAUUCUCUCUCUUUUUGUUUCUUCUCGCCGUUUCGUUUCCCCUUAUUCUCGAUGUAAAAGAUGUCAAGGCAAGGUUUAGUCUUUUUGGAUCAAGUUCUAAAGCGUUGCAAGGACACCUCAAUAAAACAGGAUCCUUUUCCCUUUCAUUGUGUUCUAAAGUGAACCAAAUGUCGUUUUCUCACACCAUUGGCAGAUUGCAUAGCAGUCGGGAUGAAAAUAAUGAUGGUGGUGUCCUUUGUACACUCAUGGGAGAUAGCUUCAAAGGUGUCAAGGUUUCGGAUUGCAUGGGAUAAUUAUUUUUUUGGCCGACGGAUGGAAAUAUCUUGAUUCCCUUGCUGGUCCGUGGUGCACAACUAUAGGUGGGAAUGAACAAAAACUUGAAUUUAUAGUGCUGCUGCAGCUAACAACCCAGUGUUGGGAAACACCUCAUUUGAUAAACACCCUCUCAAUGAUUCCCUCUAUAUUAUUAGUCUCUAUUGACUUUCGUAGUCGUAUUGUCAUUUUAAUUAAUCUAACAAUCUAUUGUAAUCUAUUAUUGCUACUGCAGAAGAAAUUUCUCACAGCCAACACAUUAAAAAGCAAAUCGUAGAAACAGAUGGAGUACGUGGUGGUGGUGGGCCUGGUGGCUUCUGAUGCAACAUUUAUGACUCCUAACCGAAUUGGGUUAGUGUUUCUACAUCUAAUGUUUGCUGUUUUGGAAGCAUCUAUGAUUAGAUGUACCAAUACUAACCCAAUAUCAGUCGGAAAAAGAAAGAAGACACUACCAGUUAUCUGUAUGUUAGGGGAUGGGUAAGUUGAAUGUUAUUUAUCUGGAACGUAAAGUGGACGUGGGUGUUGACAUAAUUUGAAAUUCUGUGCAGCUUAAUGAACCUAUUGAGGUUAGAAUUGUGUAGAAGAAUUCAUGUGGUCUUUCAACAAGAACAGAGGUAUAUUCUGGUGGAACAGGUUGGUAUACCCUUCUUUCUAUGUUGAUAGCGCACUUGCAGGUAACAUAACAACUUACCUUUUUCUAUAUUGGGCUGCUUUGCAACUAUAUUCUUAAAGGACACCUACGAAUAUGUGGCCACUGGCAAUGAGUGUUUAUUCUUGCUCUCUAUAUAUUUUUCAUCUGCGAAUCUCUAAUGUCUUCGAAAGGAUUUUUAUGUUGUUGGCAAGAUUCUUUUUAUUAAGCAGCCUUGCAUCCAUCACAGGUAUAUAUACAACUAUUUCAUAUGCAGCUUUAGUCACUGCACAUAUCGGUUUGUGAAACUCCGCGUCCCUCAGCUGGACCCUUUUGUUGGGAAGCUAGUAAUUCGGGUUUUUUAUUUUUCUUUUGGUAUUAUUAUGGACUUACUAUGCCUGUCUAUUAACAAUGUAAUCGUUAAUUUUCUGUUUCUCUUUAUAGAUAAAUGAUCACGAGAAUUAAGCUUUUCCACUUUUGUGUAGUGCAAGCAUAACUGAGGAGCUUUGUAUGUGCAAUCUAAAACCUUAGAGCUUGAAUCCAGGCUUAGUUCUGUUGUAUUAAUUCGAUUAUGGCUUCCCUGAUUUGCGUAUGAUGUGGGGUUAACUACUUAAUCAUAUUUCUGGCUUGAAAAUGAGUUAUGGGUUAUGUUCCAGGCAAUUGACUAUGAUUGUAAUUUAUUAGAGAUUUUGUUAUGAUUAAUUACUGUUUCUUGGUUUUGUUUAUUGGUUUGGUGCUUAAUCAGGCCAAAUAUAUGUUACACUGUGGACAAUGUUAUUGUUUACUUUACUCCUGAAAAAUCUUUGACCUGUAUUGUACUGAACAGUAUAUAAAACGGGUAGUCUUGCAAACCUUUUUUUUGUUUAGACUUUUGGGCAAAUCUUAUAUGGAAAUGUAGAAAUGGGCAUGAGAUUUUGAGUACUGGAAUCCUCUCACUUUUUUUGAAUGAAUUAGUUUGAAUUCAGCAAAACGGUGAGUUUCCUGGGCAUGUAAUAUGUUAGAUCACAAUAUAUGCAAAGAAGGGUUAGUUUGUGGAGCAUGUAAGUUUUUUUUUUAAUACAAUGUGUGUAUCGAUUUCUCUUUGAUGUGUUACAUGGUGUUGGUGAUAAGAUCGUCUUUUUAUUCUUCUAUUGUGUUAGGAUUAUGACAAGCAAUAUUACCUAUAAAUUGAUAGUGGUAGAUGGAAUUCAUCUUCAGUUUUUACGAACACCCGGUUCUUUACAUUACCUUUGAUUUGUGAAUUUUUGCAAGACCAAAGUCUAGGACUGCAAAAUAUUUAUUCCUUAAGAGGGUUUGAACUGUAUAAACUAACUUUGGAAACGUUUUUUUUUUACAGGUUUGAACUAUAAUACAAACAAGCCUUCGUCUUCGUGAAGAUGCAUAGUUCAUAAGGCAACGAAAUCGUCUAAUGAUGGAAACGUAGCAUCCGUGUAACAGUCGGGCAGCUACCAAGUCUAAUCGAUGCAAUAUCACUUGGAAAUUGAUAGUGGUUUAAUGUGUAGCCUAAAUCAUAAGGAGAUGGUAUUUAGCAGUAACAGAAACGUAGAAUCCGUGCAACAGUGAAAUAGCUUCAAAGCCCGAGGACAUACCAUACAAGGGAAUCAAAUUCGAAACUGAUCUAUUAAGAUAUGUACAGAAUUCUAUUGUAUUUGUAUUUUUAGUUCAUUUUUACCAAAGUUUGUUCCGACAAUUACAGUGAUUAUUUACCAUUACAAUAAAUUCCUUUUUU